AACGUAGGAGACAAACGUUAUCCGGAGUUACUGGGCGUAAAGGGCGUGUAGGUGGUAGUGUAAGCCAGAUGUGAAAUCCCCGGGCUUAACCUGGGAAUGGCAUUUGGGACUGCAAGGCUUGAGUGCGGCAGAGGAGACUGGAAUUCCCGGUGUAGCAGUGAAAUGCGUAGAUAUCGGGAGGAAUACCGAUGGCGAAGGCAGGUCUCUGGGCUGACACUGACGCUCAUGCACGAAAGCGUGGGGAGCAAACAGG
rnacentral:rRNA from 1 species